UUUUUUAUAGACAUCUCCAAUGGCCCUGAAACACCAUCGUAGAUCAAAGCCUCUCUGGAUGACCGAAUUUUAGAAAAGAAAGGAAAAUGAGACAAGAAUUUUUUGUUUGUUUUUUUACAACGGAGUGACUCAGCUAUUUAUGAAGAAGGAUGGGUGCAUGGUGUUCAUAUUAAUGUAAAGAAACACGAAAGGUGAACCCAGGAGUCGAGCUGACCUGAAAAACAAACACAGGCUCCCAACUCCCGUCGCAUACAAAUGUGUUCAUCCUCACUUCUUACUGUUGUUUGUUUGCCCCCCACCUUCUGCAAGGUGAUUAAUGAGGUGAUCAGUGAUGCGGAGAUUGACGGCAGACGAGCCAGAUGGUGGAAAACCAAGACGCUUUCCCACGACGCGACACCGAUCAUGUGACAUUUUACACUGUUCACAGACGUCACAAAGUGGCUGCUGGUGUGUGAAACAUUUCGACGGGUUCAGCCUGUGAGAGCGCACACGUUCGGAAGUACAAAGCCGAUCUGCUGCAUUGUGAUUUUUUUUUAAAUAAAUGUGCCCUUUUGUCUGUGCGAACCUGUCAAAAUUAGAUUAGUUUUCCACAGCAAGGGUGGCCUUUACACAAACACACUCCAAGAAACACCUCAACAGCCAGGCAGACCUUCACACACAAACACACACACACACAUAUUCAGGGAUAAACUUUAGCUUCGCUAUGUGUGUGAGGCCAAUUCAUUUUGCCACAAGUGGUCCCAGAUUGGAUCUGGUCAGAGUCCCAUUACAUCCCACCUUGGAUGACCUUUAAAAAAAAAAAACAUACAAAGAAACACAUUUACACACACCUUUGAAUGCUUUUGGAAAACAGGUUGGACGCAGGUCAGGUCAUCGGUGCAGGUACCCCCACCCAGACAGACCCACAGUGGUAUUGAUUGUAACGUUAUCUAGAUGGGAUCAUUUCUAUCGAUUCAGAAAGGCGGGUCGCUGUGAUCAAUGCUAUCUGCUCGUCUGCUGUGUCAUUAGAGCUGAGCCUCAGUGCCAAAAUAUCCCAGUAUCUUUCUGGAAAACGCCACCAAGCAGGAGGAAGAAUUACAUGUUAGAUCUCCGGUAUCAACCGGGCCGACACCGCCGACGUGCCCCCCGGCAAGGGCAUCUAUGUGUCAUCUGCUCAAAGGACUUGUACUGAACAUUAGCGAACAGGCAGUAAAGAGAGAUAAAGAGGAGGGUUGAAGUUCAUGAUGCAAUCAGUUUGUCUUUUUUUAUUUAGUCU